AAUUCCACUUUGUCAACUUCGAUUCACUCAUCUCUAAAUUAUGAUGUUGAAGACUCAGUCAACCAUUCAAGGACAGCUGGGUUGCUGGUCAAAACACGACCACUGGAUGACACUGGCAUCUCUGGCCUGUCACUGCGACUGCUGCUACCACCCACCUCCUCUUCUUCUGUUGCUACUCCUGCUGGCUCCAGCAACAUUUUUGCCACUGCCAGUUCCCUCAGAGGGCCCUGGCACCUGUCUGUUUGACAUACUGUACAGUAACAGUAAAUAUAUAUGUAAAAUAAGCUAUUCAAUGUCUAUGUGGA